rnacentral:rRNA from 1 species
UGCUGGAGGUAUCAGAAGUGCGAAUGCUGACAUAAGUAACGAUAAAGCGGGUGAAAAGCCCGCUCGCCGGAAGACCAAGGGUUCCUGUCCAACGUUAAUCGGGGCAGGGUGAGUCGACCCCUAAGGCGAGGCCGAAAGGCGUAGUCGAUGGGAAACGGGUUAAUAUUCCCGUACUUGGUGUUACUGCGAAGGGGGGACGGAGAAGGCUAUGUUGGCCGGGCGACGGUUGUCCCGGUUUAAGCGUAUAGGUGUGUGUUCCAGGUAAAUCCGGUUCACUUUAACACUGAGGCGUGAUGACGAGGCGCUACGGUGCUGAAGCAACAAAUGCCCUGCUUCCAGGAAAAGCCUCUAAGCAUCAGGUAACAUCAAAUCGUACCCCAAACCGACACAGGUGGUCAGGUAGAGAAUACCAAGGCGCUUGAGAGAACUCGGGUGAAGGAACUAGGCAAAAUGGUGCCGUAACUUCGGGAGAAGGCACGCUGACAUGUAGGUGAAGUGAUUUACUCAUGG